CAGCAGCCGGCGGUAAUACGUAGGUGGCAAGCGUUGUCCGGAAUUAUUGGGCGUAAAGCGCGCGCAGGCGGAUCGGUCAGUCUGUCUUAAAAGUUCGGGGCUUAACCCCGUGAUGGGAUGGAAACUGCCAAUCUAGAGUAUCGGAGAGGAAAGUGGAAUUCCUAGUGUAGCGGUGAAAUGCGUAGAUAUUAGGAAGAACACCAGUGGCGAAGGCGACUUUCUGGACGAAAACUGACGCUGAGGCGCGAAAGCCAGGGGAGCGAACGGGAUUAGAUACCCGAGUAGUCCCUGUCUCUUAUAC
rnacentral:rRNA from 1 species